GCAUCGGCGGGAACAUCGGGGGUGGUUGUCGUGGAGGUGGGUCCGUCAUCUCUGUGGUAGGCGUUUGGGGCAUCACAGUGGUCGAUCUUUGCGUCACAACGCUACUGCAAUGUUUAAAACGGAAUCGAUUAAGAUCCACUCCACUUAAAGAUACUAAAUCAACAGCACAUCGGAAAAGAACAAGGCAUCAAGAAAGAAGAAAAAUAUUUUCCACGAGCACUAUAUAAAAGAGAGGGAAAAAAAAAAAAAAAAAAGAACAGAAAAAAAACUCUCUCUACAAAAGAUACAAUUAACAAUGGUAAAGUAGAGAUACCGGAUCCAACGUGUCACCGGAAAUACACACAGCGUGCACGUUCUAUUUCUCGUCACUCUAUCGUUUUCAACGUCGCCGCGGGAUGCGGGAAACUGGCAACUCACCUGGCGUGGCUGGUUUCGAGGUCUGUGGUUGACACAUUGUACUGGACGGAGACGGUGACGAUGUCCCGGGUCGAUGUCGUCGGCGAGGCUGGAGACGUUUGCGUGCUGAUGUGGCUGGUCGUGUACUCGCGUUCCGUCGUGUACACCUCCGAGCUCGAGUCUGCUUUGGAAAAUGGAAACGAGAAGAGAAACGUCAGCCGGUUGCUGCAAUUACGCGUAUCCGAUUGGCCCGAACAGGGGUAUGGGAUAGUAACGUGCUACCGACAAUAUUUACGCGUGCGUAGGCCGGCGAUAUUCACGCGUGCGUGGCCAGCAGCCACGUUGCGAGCACCCCAAAGGAGGGAUUCGUGUUUCGCGGCUUCCAGGGACAAUCGUUCAAUCAUCCACACGCGUAACGAGUGUGAGCACGCGUGUUGAACGAUGGCUCCUCCCCCGCUGUUAAUUUCCUUUUUCAAUUUCGCAACGGUGCAGAAGUGCAGAAAUAAAAUAUAAGGGUUUAGAAAGGAUUAGAAAGAAGUCUGAUAAAUAUGGAUGGUUAUUUGUAGAUUGAAGAGACAAUGCUUGAUUAUAGAUAUCAUAUCUCGCCAAGAAUGUAUUUGAUUGGAGAUACAGAAAUGGGAUAUGGAAAGGGAUUUAUAGAAAGAGAUAUAGAAGGAAAAUAGAUUAAUUAUAGGUGCCAUAUUAUUAAAUAUAUGUGACUUUAGAGAAGAUAAAAUAUAUAGAAAUUUAUAAAGAAAUUUUUUAGGAAAAUACUUGAAGUGAAGUUUAAAUAUCUGUGUUGUUUAUGUAAUUUAUGUAAUAGUAUAAGAUUAGAAUUAAUUAAAGAUAUCAUUUUGCCAAUAUAAAUAAAAGUUUAAAAUGAUAAA